rnacentral:lncRNA from 1 species
GCCAUGUGUCACCCGAAGGUGUCCCUUCACUAAUUCCCAGGUGAGAAAGCCGUCGGCCCUGGCCCGUCCACACCCUGAGAGCCCAGGUUCCCAGGCCCCAGCAGGAGGCAGCGGGUGCAGAGUGUCCGGGGCCUGGCCGGGGGACUGUAGCUGGCCCGGGACAGCUCCGGGCGUUGCUGGGCACCGUGGAGCCUCUGUCCACACAGCUUCGGGCUGAAGUCUGCAGGGAUUUUAGGGGACUGCUGACGCCCGGGCCCUGGGGACACUGGACACACCGAGGGAGCAGCUUUCUCCCCGUGUGGCCUGUGAGCCCGGAGGGGGUGAGCCGGGGGUUGGAGAGGAACAAACGAAAGUCCAACGCCCAUGUGAAGUGGCCCCAGAAGCCCACGGCCCUCCCGAGAGCUGGACCCCGGGUUGCGCCACCUCUGGAGACGAAGGCGCCCGUGCAGCUUGGGAUUACUUCAAGGGUCCUCGGGGGGCCGGGGGCCUUGGCCCAGCUUCUGAGAAGCACUGCCCUGGGGAACAGUGCCCGGGCCACCUGGGGGUGAUGAUGUGACAAUAGUGGCAAUAGCUGACGCUGAGCAGAGGCCACCUCCGCGCCAGGACCCUGCCAUCCGUGCAUCAGCCCUCCACCUCCUAAGAGGGCCCUGAGGCCUUCAAUCCCCGCCGAGGUCCCAAGGCCAGCACCUCUGUCCAGCUGUCCUGUGCCACCCGUGUUUGUUAGGACAGAGCCGCGGUGCUCACCGCGGGACAGACAGCGGCCACACCUGUCGGCGGGCGGUGGAGGAGCUCGGUGGGUGCACACGCAGGCUACGCUCUGAACGUCUGUGUCACCCCAAACUCACAUGUGA